rnacentral:rRNA from 1 species
UGUGAACUCGAAGAGUAGGGCGGGACACGUGGUAUCCUGUCUGAAUAUGGGGGGACCAUCCUCCAAGGCUAAAUACUCCUGACUGACCGAUAGUGAACCAGUACCGUGAGGGAAAGGCGAAAAGAACCCCGGCGAGGGGAGUGAAAAAGAACCUGAAACCGUGUACGUACAAGCAGUGGGAGCACCUUCGGGUGUGACUGCGUACCUUUUGUAUAAUGGGUCAGCGACUUAUAUUCUGUAGCAAGGUUAACCGUAUAGGGGAGCCGCAGGGAAACCGAGUCUUAACUGGGCGUUAAGUUGCAGGGUAUAGACCCGAAACCCGGUGAUCUAGCCAUGGGCAGGUUGAAGGUUGGGUAACACUAACUGGAGGACCGAACCGACUAAUGUUGAAAAAUUAGCGGAUGACUUGUGGCUGGGGGUGAAAGGCCAAUCAAACCGGGAGAUAGCUGGUUCUCCCCGAAAGCUAUUUAGGUAGCGCCUCGUGAACUCAUCUUCGGGGGUAGAGCACUGUUUCGGCUAGGGGGUCAUCCCGACUUACCAACCCGAUGCAAACUACGAAUACCGAAGAAUGUUAUCACGGGAGACACACGGCGGGUGCUAACGUCCGUCGUGAAGAGGGAAACAACCCAGACCGCCAGCUAAGGUCCCAAAGUCAUGGUUAAGUGGGAAACGAUGUGGGAAGGCACAGACAGCCAGGAUGUUGGCUUAGAAGCAGCCAUCAUUUAAAGAAAGCGUAAUAGCUCACUGGUCGAGUCGGCCUGCGCGGAAGAUGUAACGGGGCUAAACCAUGCACCGAAGCUGCGGCAGCGACACUAUGUGUUGUUGGGUAGGGGAGCGUUCUGUAAGCCUGCGAAGGUGUGCUGUGAGGCAUGCUGGAGGUAUCAGAAGUGCGAAUGCUGACAUAAGUAACGAUAAAGCGGGUGAAAAGCCCGCUCGCCGGAAGACCAAGGGUUCCUGUCCAACGUUAAUCGGGGCAGGGUGAGUCGACCCCUAAGGCGAGGCCGAAAGGCGUAGUCGAUGGGAAACAGGUUAAUAUUCCUGUACUUGGUGUUACUGCGAAGGGGGGACGGAGAAGGCUAUGUUAGCCGGGCGACGGUUGUCCCGGUUUAAGCAUGUAGGCUGGUUAUCCAGGAAAAUCCGGAUAAUCAAGGCUGAGGUGUGAUGACGAGGCACUACGGUGCUGAAGUAACAAAUGCCCUGCUUCCAGGAAAAGCCUCUAAGCAUCAGG